rnacentral:rRNA from 1 species
UACGUAGGGGGCAAGCGUUGUCCGGAUUUAUUGGGCGUAAAGAGCGUGUAGGCGGCUUUACAGGUCCGUUGUGAAAACUCGAGGCUCAACCUCGAGACGCCGGUGGAAACCGUAAAGCUAGAGUCCGGAAGAGGAGAGUGGAAUUCCUGGUGUAGCGGUGAAAUGCGUUGAUAUUGGAAGGAACGCCGGAGCCGAAAGGGGGCCACUGGACCUCUUCGUGACGCUGAUGCGCGAAAGCUAGGGAGCGAACGGG